rnacentral:rRNA from 1 species
GACGAACGCUGGCGGCGUGCUUAACACAUGCAAGUCGAACGAAGAGCGAUGGAAGCUUGCUUCUAUCAAUCUUAGUGGCGAACGGGUGAGUAACGCGUAAUCAACCUGCCCUUCAGAGGGGGACAACAGUUGGAAACGACUGCUAAUACCGCAUACGAUCUAAUCUCGGCAUCGAGGAUAGAUGAAAGGUGGCCUCUACAUGUAAGCUAUCACUGAAGGAGGGGAUUGCGUCUGAUUAGCUAGUUGGAGGGGUAACGGCCCACCAAGGCGAUGAUCAGUAGCCGGUCUGAGAGGAUGAACGGCCACAUUGGGACUGAGACACGGCCCAGACUCCUACGGGAGGCAGCAGUGGGGAAUCUUCCGCAAUGGACGAAAGUCUGACGGAGCAACGCCGCGUGAGUGAUGACGGCCUUCGGGUUGUAAAGCUCUGUUAAUCGGGACGAAAGGCCUUCUUGCGAAUAUUUCGAAGGAUAG